UUUUUCGUAAAAGUUUUCAGGGUUUUCUGAUGUUUGGAUGGCUAAAAACAAUUUCCUACCGUAAAAUCAAGUGUUUUUUUAGGAAAAUGUUUUACCCUUUUUGAAUUCGGUAAGACAUUUUCAGGAAAAUGAAGCUUCCUCUCCCCCUCCCCCUCCCCCUUCCUCUUGGGUUGCAAAUCAGUGCCAUUGACAAUAGUUUGGUCAAGGAGCUUUUCCGGUUCCUCCUUCAUCCAGGAUUUGGCAUUUGAUCUGUCCAUUUCUGCUUUUUUGGGAGAUAACAUCUACAACUUUGGAGAACUCCUUGCUCAUCCAAUUUUUUCUUUGGCUUGUUACUGCAAAUCAAAUGGAUUCUUUCUAUAGGCAGGCAGUCGUAGAAAUUCAAGUGUUGUGCAUUGGCUUCUUUGGCGUUUACAAGUCUGGUCAUUGCAGCUGUUGGAUAAUUGGAUGGGCAAAGUACAUAACGCUUGGUUAUUAACUGAGGCUAAAACACCUGAUCUCGUUGCAUCAUGAAUUUUUUUCUCCAGUUCCUUUCUUCCAUUGUAACAAUUUCGUUAUUUGAAAAGGGCAAGAAGGGGGGAAAGUGAAAUGAUUAGCAAUGAGGAUAGAGAUAAGUGUUAGUCAUUUACGGGAAUAGCCAUAUUUGUAUGAUUCCUUUAGUAGGUAUUGCUUGAUCCUUAAAUCUUUGUUCUGAAAGGAGCGGCUCAUGUACUAAACUUUUCACUUUUUGGCAUUUGUUGGAUCUACAAUGGCACUGGAAUGCCUAAGGAUACGGUUAAAACUGCAAACAUCAUCCUUAUCUUUCAUUUUGUAUUGGGAUAUUUCAUUAGAUACAAUCAAAUAUGAUCCACUUUUAUGUGGAUGAAA